UACGUAGGAUGCAAGCGUUGUCCGGAAUUAUUGGGCGUAAAGAGCGCGCAGGCGGUCUAUCAAGUCAGAUGUGAAAUAUCCAGGCUUAACCUGGAGGGGUCAUUUGAAACUGGUAGACUAGAGUACAGCAGAGGAUAGUGGAAUUCCCGGUGUAGUGGUGAAAUGCGUAGAUAUCGGGAGGAACACCAGUGGCGAAGGCGGCUCACUGGCCCGAUACUGACGCUGAGGUGCGAAAGCGUGGGGAGCAAACAGG
rnacentral:rRNA from 1 species